rnacentral:rRNA from 1 species
AGAGUUUGAUCCUGGCUCAGGACGAACGCUGGCGGCGUGCUUAACACAUGCAAGUCGAACGGUGAACCUGCUUCGGUGGGGGAUCAGUGGCGAACGGGUGAGUAACACGUGGGCAACCUGCCCCUGGCUCUGGGAUAACUCCAAGAAAUUGGGGCUAAUACCGGAUAUGACCGCUGACCGCAUGGUCUGGUGGUGGAAAGAUUUAUCGGCUGGGGAUGGGCCCGCGGCCUAUCAGCUUGUUGGUGGGGUAGUGGCCUACCAAGGCGACGACGGGUAGCCGGCCUGAGAGGGUGACCGGCCACACUGGGACUGAGACACGGCCCAGACUCCUACGGGAGGCAGCAGUGGGGAAUAUUGCGCAAUGGGCGAAAGCCUGACGCAGCGACGCCGCGUGGGGGAUGACGGCCUUCGGGUUGUAAACCUCUUUCAGCAGGGACGAAGCGGAAGUGACGGUACCUGCAGAAGAAGCACCGGCCAACUACGUGCCAGCAGCCGCGGUAAUACGUAGGGUGCAAGCGUUGUCCGGAAUUAUUGGGCGUAAAGAGCUCGUAGGCGGUUCGUCGCGUCGGCUGUGAAAUCCCGAGGCUCAACCUCGGGUCUGCAGUCGAUACGGGCGGACUUGAGUUCGGCAGGGGAGACUGGAAUUCCUGGUGUAGCGGUGAAAUGCGCAGAUAUCAGGAGGAACACCGGUGGCGAAGGCGGGUCUCUGGGCCGAUACUGACGCUGAGGAGCGAAAGCGUGGGGAGCGAACAGGAUUAGAUACCCUAGUAGUCC